rnacentral:lncRNA from 1 species
GGGUUUCAGAUAUAAAGGAUUAUGUUAUCUGUUGUUCUCACAUAGGCUUCUGGAUGGUUGCAAUGUUACUGACUGAUAAUCUUCACAAGGAACAAAUGAGAACCAUAAAGAUAUCAGUCGGCCGACCGACACUCGAAAGAUUUUGUUGCUUGAUAAUUGGAUUGAGCUGUGAUAGUGAUUUAGCAACAACUGUAAAACAAAAGAACCAUGCAAAGAAGAAAAAACAAUGGUUGAAAUAAAAUUUGGCAAAACCUUU